UACGAAGGGGGCUAGCGUUGUUCGGAAUUACUGGGCGUAAAGGGCGCGUAGGCGGCCUACUAAGUCGGACGUGAAAUCCCUCGGCUUAACCGAGGAACUGCCUGUCAGACUGGAAGGCUUGAGACCGGGAGAGGUGAGUGGAAUUCCCAGUGUAGCGGUGAAAUGCGUAGAUAUUGGGAGGAACACCAGUGGCGAAGGCGGCUCACUGGACCGGUACUGACGCUGAGGCGCGAAAGCGUGGGGAGCAAACAGG
rnacentral:rRNA from 1 species